rnacentral:rRNA from 1 species
GGGGGGGGGCUAUAAUGCAGUCGAGCGAACAGAUGAGAAGCUUGCUUCUCUGAUGUUAGCGGCGGACGGGUGAGUAACACGUGGGUAACCUACCUAUAAGACUGGGAUAACUCCGGGAAACCGGGGCUAAUACCGGAUAAUAUUUUGAACCGCAUGGUUCAAUAGUGAAAGACGGUUUCGGCUGUCACUUAUAGAUGGACCCGCGCCGUAUUAGCUAGUUGGUAAGGUAACGGCUUACCAAGGCGACGAUACGUAGCCGACCUGAGAGGGUGAUCGGCCACACUGGAACUGAGACACGGUCCAGACUCCUACGGGAGGCAGCAGUAGGGAAUCUUCCGCAAUGGGCGAAAGCCUGACGGAGCAACGCCGCGUGAGUGAUGAAGGUCUUCGGAUCGUAAAACUCUGUUGUUAGGGAAGAACAAAUUUGUUAGUAACUGAACAAGUCUUGACGGUACCUAACCAGAAAGCCACGGCUAACUACGUGCCAGCAGCCGCGGUAAUACGUAGGUGGCAAGCGUUAUCCGGAAUUAUUGGGCGUAAAGCGCGCGUAGGCGGUUUCUUAAGUCUGAUGUGAAAGCCCACGGCUCAACCGUGGAGGGUCAUUGGAAACUGGGAAACUUGAGUGCAGAAGAGGAGAGUGGAAUUCCAUGUGUAGCGGUGAAAUGCGCAGAGAUAUGGAGGAACACCAGUGGCGAAGGCGGCUCUCUGGUCUGUAACUGACGCUGAUGUGCGAAAGCGUGGGGAUCAAACAGGAUUAGAUACCCUGGUAGUCCACGCCGUAAACGAUGAGUGCUAAGUGUUAGGGGGUUUCCGCCCCUUAGUGCUGCAGCUAACGCAUUAAGCACUCCGCCUGGGGAGUACGACCGCAAGGUUGAAACUCAAAGGAAUUGACGGGGACC